GCGGGAAGAGCUCAAAUUUAAAAUCUGGCAGGCUACGCUUGUCCGAAUUGUAAUCUCGAGAAGUGUUUUCCGCGUUGGCCUGUGUACAAGUCCCUUGGAACAGGGCGUCAUAGAGGGUGAGAAUCCCGUCCUUGACACAGAUACCCAAUGCUUUGUGAUACACUCUCAAUGAGUCGAGUUGUUUGGGAAUGCAGCUCAAAAUGGGUGGUAAAUUCCAUCUAAAGCUAAAUACUGGCGAGAGACCGAUAGCGAACAAGUACCGUGAGGGAAAGAUGAAAAGCACUUUGGAAAGAGAGUCAAACAGUACGUGAAAUUGUUGAAAGGGAAACGAUUGAAGUCAGUCGUGCCUGCCUAGUCUCAGCCUUUUGGUGUACUACUAGGCCGGCAGGUCAGCAUCAGUUUGGGAGGAUUAACAAGGGAGUUAGGAAUGUGGCAACCUCGGUUGUGUUAUAGCCUAGCUUCGCAUUGAUCUUGCUGGACUGAGGAACGCAGUGCGCCCGCAAGGGUUGGUCUUCGGACACAUUCGCACUUAGGAUGCUGGCAUAAUGGCUUUAAACGACCCGUCUU
rnacentral:rRNA from 1 species